rnacentral:misc_RNA from 1 species
GUUGAUUUAUGCACUCAGCAUGGUAGAAACAAUUUAGAAAUACUCUUAAAAGGAGCAAAAGCAAUUCAACAUCCAUUAUCAGAGGUGCCCAUAUGAUAUAAGACCUUCCUCAUGAUCCAAGUAUCCAACUAUCAAUUGCAAUUCUAGCGAAGUAAAAUGAAGGACCCAGAACAUCAGGAAGCAUAAAAUUCAAAAUUUUGAUAAAGAAAACACAUUUCCCCAAGCCAUGCCUAUUAAAACUACAAGAUCAUUUUUUCAAAAAGCCUCUCAGCUUAAUCUUCCAAUCCUAUAAUCUACUUGCAACAUUUUAUCAUCAGCCAAGUCAAGAAACAAAACAUGUAUAUAUAUUGGGUUUUAGGAAAAGCCCUUACAUUUUCUGACGCGACUGGCAGGA